CUCUUCAGACAGCUUCCUCUGCACAUGCGGUAGCUGCUGGAAGGGGUUCCAGCCCAUCUGGUCUCACAGCUUGCUGCCCUCGGCCCCCAAGCGUGGGCAGCAAAGCCCCCUGGGACCUGCACGG
rnacentral:snoRNA from 1 species